AUUGAACGCUGGCGGCAGGCCUAACACAUGCAAGUCGAGCGGAUGAAGGGAGCUUGCUCCUGGAUUCAGCGGCGGACGGAUGAGUAAUGCCUAGGAAUCUGCCUGGUAGUGGGGGAUAACGUCCGGAAACGGGCGCUAAUACCGCAUACGUCCUGAGGGAGAAAGUGGGGGAUCUUCGGACCUCACGCUAUCAGAUGAGCCUAGGUCGGAUUAGCUAGUUGGUGGGGUAAAGGCCUACCAAGGCGACGAUCCGUAACUGGUCUGAGAGGAUGAUCAGUCACACUGGAACUGAGACACGGUCCAGACUCCUACGGGGGGCAGCAGUGGGGAAUAUUGGACAAUGGGCGAAAGCCUGAUCCAGCCAUGCCGCGUGUUUGAAGAAGGUCUUCGGAUUGUAAAGCACUUUAAGUUGGGAGGAAGGGCAGUAAGUUAAUACCUUGCUGUUUUGACGUUACCAACAGAAUAAGCACCGGCCAACUUCGUG
rnacentral:rRNA from 1 species